UACGAAGGGGGCUAGCGUUGCUCGGAAUCACUGGGCGUAAAGCGCACGUAGGCGGAUCUUUAAGUCAGGGGUGGAAUCCUGGAGCUCAACUCCAGAACUGCCUUUGAUACUGGGGAUCUCGAGUCCGGAAGAGGUGAGUGGAACUCCGAGUGUAGAGGUGAAAUUCGUAGAUAUUCGGAAGAACACCAGUGGCGAAGGCGGCUCACUGGUCCGGUACUGACGCUGAGGUGCGAAAGCGUGGGGAGCAAACAGG
rnacentral:rRNA from 1 species